GAUGAACGCUAGCUACAGGCUUAACACAUGCAAGUCGAGGGGAAACGGCAUCGAAAGCUUGCUUUUGAUGGGCGUCGACCGGCGCACGGGUGAGUAACGCGUAUCCAACCUGCCCAUCACUUGGGAAUAACCUUGCGAAAGUAAGACUAAUGCCCAAUGACAUCCCACGAAGGCAUCCGAAUGGGAUUAAAGAUUUAUCGGUGAUGGAUGGGGAUGCGUCUGAUUAGCUUGUUGGCGGGGUGACGGCCCACCAAGGCAACGAUCAGUAGGGGUUCUGAGAGGAAGGUCCCCCACAUUGGAACUGAGACACGGUCCAAACUCCUACGGGAGGCAGCAGUGAGGAAGAUUGGUCAAUGGGCGAGAGCCUGAACCAGCCAAGUAGCGUGCAGGAGGACGGCCCUAUGGGUUGUAAACUGCUUUUAUAAGGGAAUAAAGUGGGUCACGUGUGACUUUUUGCAUGUACCUUAUGAAUAAGGACCGGCUAAUUCCGUG
rnacentral:rRNA from 1 species